CUGAAUACAUAGGUUAAUGAGGCGAACCGGGGGAACUGAAACAUCUAAGUACCCCGAGGAAAAGAAAUCAACCGAGAUUCCGAAAGUAGCGGCGAGCGAAAUUGGACUAGCCCUUAAGCUUUACACGCGUUAGACGAACGGUCUGGAAAGUCCGACGAUACAGGGUGAUAGUCCCGUAGUUGACGACGUGUGUUCAGUGAAAUCGAGUAGGGCGGGACACGUGAUAUCCUGUCUGAAUAUGGGGGGACCAU
rnacentral:rRNA from 1 species